rnacentral:lncRNA from 1 species
ACAGUAUAGCUUUCGCUAAAAUCGACCAACAAACAAACAUUUUUCUACCCAGAACUACGUAAGCCUUGAUUUCUCUUUUGAGAUACGUAGGAGCAGGAUUUGUAAAUCUUGUCAGGCCCACUAAUAAAAAACUUAGGUUUAGUCCUUCGUUAAAAAAUCCAAAAACAUUUCUUCUCUCUUAUAUUCUUUCUUUCCCACCUAAUAAUUUGAAAAGCCUAACAUUUCAAACUAAC